UACAGAAAGAAUAUACAAAACUUGGUUCUGAAUCUGGGUGCAAGAAAAUGUGAACUCUAAGAGGUGACUGCUGUGCCAGACAGUUCAGGGCUGCAAGGCAUCAAAGCCUACAGUGGGAACAAGGUAGGAAACACCCCUGUUGCACCAGUCAAGCGCAAAGAGUUAAUUUGGAGGUGCCAGUAAACCUAAACUGCAUGUCAUUAAGCAGACACAAGGAGGAUGUUGGAACUCCAUAUAGACAAGUUUGCACAGGCUUCAAAUCCAGAAGACAUGAAGUAACAGUGCUAAUCACUGCACCACCAUGCCACCUUUGAACUGAAUGGAACUGACCAUUCAUAGAAAAUUUCUCCUGGCCCUGAUAACGUCAUUUCCAGUUCCGGAGCUUUUGAGGAUGUCGCUUCUGGUUCCGGCCCUUUUGAUGACAUCACGUUC